UGAUUUGCAGGGGGGGGAUGCCUAUGCC
rnacentral:sRNA from 1 species